GCAAUGAUGAUGCUUUGUGAUGGUGAUCAUUUUGAACUGAUGUUGUCCACAAUUGUCCUCUAAGAAGUUCUGAGCUU